rnacentral:rRNA from 1 species
GAUGAACGCUGGCGGCAUGCUUAACACAUGCCAGUCGGACGGUAAGUGGUGUUUCCAGUGGCGGACGGGUGCGUGACGCGUAAGAACCUGCCCUUGGGAGGGGAACAACAGCUGGAAACGGCUGCUAAUACCCCGCAGGCGGUGGAGCAAAAGGAGGAAUCCGCCUGAGGAGGGGCGGGCUUCUGAUUAGCUAGGUGGUGAGGCAAUAGCUUACCAAGACGAUGAUCAGUAGCUGGUCCGAGAAGACGAUCAGCCACACUGGGUGUGAGACACGGCCCAGACACCUACGGGAGGCAGCAGAGGGGUAUUGUCGGCAAUGGGCGAAAACCUGACGGAGCAAUGCCGCGUGGAGUUAGAAGGCCGACGGGUCGUGAACUACUUUUCCCGGAGAAGAAGCAAGGACGGUAUCGGAGGAAUAAGCAUCGGCUAACUCUGU